rnacentral:rRNA from 1 species
AUUGAACGCUGGCGGAAUGCUUUACACAUGCAAGUCGAACGGCAGCACGGACUUCGGUCUGGUGGCGAGUGGCGAACGGGUGAGUAAUGUAUCGGAACGUGCCCAGUCGUGGGGGAUAACGUAGUGAAAAUUACGCUAAUACCGCAUACGAUCUAUGGAUGAAAGCGGGGGAUCGCAAGACCUUGCGCGAUUGGAGCGGCCGAUAUCAGAUUAGGUAGUUGGUGGGGUAAAGGCCCACCAAGCCAACGAUCUGUAGCUGGUCUGAGAGGACGACCAGCCACACUGGAACUGAGACACGGUCCAGACUCCUACGGGAGGCAGCAGUGGGGAAUUUUGGACAAUGGGCGAAAGCCUGAUCCAGCCAUUCCGCGUGCAGGAUGAAGGCCCUCGGGUUGUAAACUGCUUUUGUGCAGAACGAAAAGGUUUCUACUAAUACUAGGAGCUCAUGACGGUACUGUAAGAAUUAGCACCGGCUAACUACGUGCCAGCCGCCGCCGUAA